AUUGAACGCUGGCGGCAUGCCUUACACAUGCAAGUCGAACGGUAACAGGUCUUCGGAUGCUGACGAGUGGCGAACGGGUGAGUAAUACAUCGGAACGUGCCCGAUCGUGGGGGAUAACGGAGCGAAAGCUUUGCUAAUACCGCAUACGAUCUACGGAUGAAAGCAGGGGACCGCAAGGCCUUGCGCGGACGGAGCGGCCGAUGGCAGAUUAGGUAGUUGGUGGGAUAAAAGCUUACCAAGCCGACGAUCUGUAGCUGGUCUGAGAGGACGACCAGCCACACUGGGACUGAGACACGGCCCAGACUCCUACGGGAGGCAGCAGUGGGGAAUUUUGGACAAUGGGCGAAAGCCUGAUCCAGCCAUGCCGCGUGCAGGAUGAAGGCCUUCGGGUUGUAAACUGCUUUUGUACGGAACGAAAAGACUCUUUCUAAUAAAGAGUGUCCAUGACGGUACCGUAAGAAUAAGCACCGGCUAACUACGUG
rnacentral:rRNA from 1 species